rnacentral:rRNA from 1 species
UACGGAGGUGCAAGCGUUACUCGGAAUUACUGGGCGUAAGAGCGUGUAGGCGGUAAUAAGUUGGAAGUGAAUCCUAUGGCUCAACCGUAGAACUGCUUCCAAACUGUUAACCUAGAAUGUGGGAGAGGUAGAUGGAAUUUCUGGUGUAGGGUAAAUACCGUAGGAUAUCAGAAGGAAUACCGAUUGCGAAGGCGAUCUACUGGAACACAAUUGACGCUGAGACGCGAAAGCGUGGGAGCAAACAGGAUUAGAUACCCCUGUAGU